AACGAACGCUGGCGGCAUGCCUAACACAUGCAAGUCGAACGAAGCCUUCGGGCUUAGUGGCGCACGGGUGCGUAACGCGUGGGAAUCUGCCCUUGGGUUCGGAAUAACAGUUAGAAAUGACUGCCAAUACCGGAUGAUGUCUUCGGACCAAAGAUUUAUCGCCCAAGGAUGAGCCCGCGUAGGAUUAGGUAGUUGGUGGGGUAAUGGCCCACCAAGCCGACGAUCCUUAGCUGGUCCGAGAGGAUGAUCAGCCACACUGGGACUGAGACACGGCCCAGACUCCUACGGGAGGCAGCAGUGGGGAAUAUUGGACAAUGGGCGAAAGCCUGAUCCAGCAAUGCCGCGUGAGUGAUGAAGGCCUUAGGGUUGUAAAGCUCUUUUACCCGGGAUGAUAAUGACAGUACCGGGAGAAUAAGCUCCGGCUAACUCCGUGCCAGCAGCCGCCGUAACAC
rnacentral:rRNA from 1 species